UGCGAGUAACGAAAUGUAUUCGUGUGUAACGUUUCGUUACUCGUUACUAGAUGCCGCACCCGUUACUCAGUAACGAAUACAUACGGUUUGCUACAGCUCUACAUCUGGUCCAUUUACUUAUCUCUGGUGGAGAAUAAAAAUGGUGGAUUGAUGGUUUACUUUUAUAUUUCUUGGGUUGUAUAAAGAGUAAAGUAUUGUAGAAAAGUACGAUGAAUGGUAAAAAGUGUACUGCAAUGUCACGUCAUUUCCGCACCGAUACCUAUUAAAAUAGUAAAUUCCAACAAUUUGUAGCUCAUGGGACUUAAUGCUAGUAAGUAAAUUAGUGCUGUAUUAUAAAUAACAAUGAAUUGUUCAUUUUUUAGAAUUUAUUUCAAAGUUAAUAAUUAGUAUCUUUGAAUAUUACAAAGCUGAAGAUUUUCAUCGUAUUUGAGCCAUAUUCCAAGAUAACAUGCACACAUCACACUACUAGCCCAUAAGAUGGAUGAAAGCAGCAGCGAAAUGGUAUGCAUUGUCAAAGAAGAUGAGAAUGGAGAGAUUGUGUGUGUACCGAUACGCAAAUCUGAAAAAAGCGGAAAAGAUUACCUUGUCAUGGACGAGAAUUUCUGCUUGGUGGAGUACAACAUUGCUUCACUUAACAACAACGGGCAGAUCAUUGCAAAGCAGGAACCCGCAGAUGGUGACAGUCCCGUGGAAAUCAUACUUUUUCCCAACUAUGACGAUUUAAGUGAAUCAUCUGGUGAAGCAGAACGAGAGAUAAACAUUGACUGCAGUCACAUCUACGACGAGUGCAACUCCGAGGUACCCCGGCAGCAUUCUGAAGACUCAGACACAGAUAACGCUGUGUCCGAAAGCCGAAGUGUCUCCAUCAAGUCCGCAGAAAUAAUCAGGGAUUUAGACAAGGGGAUUGUGAAGUUUGAUACUUUGCUGCAAGUGGCGACCGGGAAAGUUUCAAAUUCGUCUAUGCCAGAAAAAUUUCGGUACCAAGAGCCGAGGGAGCAUAAGUUGCUCUCGCAUCCUAACAUCAGGCUGCAGACACGGUGCUCCAACAGCCAUGAGAAAAAGAAGUCUUGGACACAUCUUGUAGAUAAGACCCUUUUCGAUAAAGACUCACACCACAUUAACACACGGACAAAUGGUAAAGUGGGGAAAACUUAUCUGAAAAAAUUCAAUAGUAAUUCCCAAAAAAUCACUCUUACAGUGAAGCGAGAACACAUAGACAGUAAUUCACUCAGGAUUGGUAAAAAUGAACACCCGUUUCAAUGCACAAUGUGUGAUAAAUCUUUUCGACAGGCUAGCAGUCUUGUUAUACAUUACAAAGUUCACAAAGAAACUGUUAGGGAUAGUUGUAUCAUUAGUUGAAAAAUGUAUUUUAUUGAUUGCAUGCCUUGUUGUGUGCUAAGGUUCAUCAUUUGUAUAUUGUACAGUGAUAAUGAGUUUUAAAGAACAACCUCUUGCAGAGGAUAAAAGAUAUUGUUACUGAUUUUGUUAGGGGCAACUUUAAUAUUAAAGGAAUGUUAAUUAUUGUAACACUUUUGUCCACAUUUCACUUCUGUCAAAAUUUAAUUUUCAUAUGAUUGAAUUUCAUCUGUUGUGUUGUGUAUGUUUUAAGGCUCUAAAUUAAACCCUGUUGGCACUGUGUAUAACAGUUCAGUCAGUACAAUUCGUUGGCAAAUGUUUUUUACUCUAGUAGAUAUCCUCAGUAUCUGUUUUUGUUUUAACUGCACAGUUCCAGCUAGAAGGUAAAAUCACAUUUUGGCCAUCUUUAUUUUGUCAUUCUAAAUUAGGAGAGCAUUACUUAGUUCUGGAGCGGGAAGCUUAUUCCAAGCAAGGGGCCAAGGAGAUCUGGGUUUGAUUCCUGGCAGAGUUAAACCUGGAAUUGUUACGGUUGGGAAGUUUGGCAGAGGUUGCGGUGAGCUUCCAUGCAGGAUUCUCCCCGAUUUCCUCACCGAUGCGUUCAUGUCGCUUCAGUCCUCAUUUUCUAAAAUGACCUCUGUGUCUGAUUUCAAGCUCUAAUUUAUUUGUUCAUCCAUUAUAUCAAGCAAAAUCAGCGAGCUAACCAAAAUAAUACAACAAACUUCUUGGGAUUUAAUAAUCUAGGUUACUUACAUGUUCCUGAAUAAUGAUGCGCACAGAAAUUUAUCUUGGUACAUUUUUAUAGAAAUAAAGGAACUAUUGGAUUAUUCAUACAAGUCUAAUUUAAAGGGGGGGAAAUGUCUCUCUCUUGCUACAACAUUAACAAAUGGGUCCUAGGUGGCUAUGAUCACUGGUAUUGCGGUUGUUUGUCUAGAAGAGUAGGUUUGAUUCUAAGCCCUAGUAUGACUCACUGAACACAAGUUCGGAGUCUCUUUUAAAUAUAGUAGUCUUAUGUGACUAAUGAUUCAGGUUCAAUUCCCAUUGGUGUGAUUGAUUCUGUAUUUUUUAUUUGUGGAAAACAUAGCUGUUAAAAUGCUCCCAUCGUAUCUACAAUUCAUAAAAGUCAUGAAAAAGUCCCAAAAUAAACUAACAAUGUUGAAAGUCAUGAAUUUUUAAUUUCCAGCGACCAUUUGUUGAUUUGCAUUUUAUUUGACACCCUUCAGUGUAUAGUAUCAUAAUAAAUACAAAUAGUUGAAGUUGGUACCUGUGCACAUAAAUCAUGUGGAAAUAAUCUUUAAAAAUGUUUUAACAUUCUGACAUCUUCCUGCAAAUAUAUCUAUUUUGUCUUAGGUUUGAUUUUGAUUAUUAUGUAUGAAAAUGACCCUUUAAGAAAAUUUUACUUAUAGCUCAUGGAAAAAGUACUAAAGUUGGUCCUGUAGGUAUUUGUAGACACCCUGAUUCCAUUGUUCUGUUCCAUAUCAUUAUUCAAAGAUGAGACAUUUGCAACAAGAACAGUAAAUACAGAUAAUAAACUCCAGACAACACAGCAAUGCACAGAUGAACUCAGUGAUGAAAAUAAACAGAUAAUCUGGACAGCACAGAUGAACAAAGUAAGCUUUCUUUGUGACAAAACUGUUGUGACAUUCGGGGAACUGGCAUCUGUUCCCGUCAUCAGGCACAAACAAACUUAUUCGUAAAUUGGGAUUUGUGUGUGUUUGACCCCCCCCUCUCCUGCUGCAGCUAAUGACUGGAGCACUCCCCUGAUUGGUUGUGCACAUGUGAACUAAUAUUAUUGGCUGGUGUCUUGCAGCAAAGGUUGUUUUCCUUGUAUUUACUGCUGUUGCAACUGUCUCUUAAUUUUUUUAUAUUUCUUCCAUGUAAUUCUCUGUGCUAUUUAACAUCAAUGUCGGCUAUAUUGGCUUGUUACCCGUGUGUAUGUAUUCAAUUUUGUUGUCCAUUUCCGAGAUUUUUUCUGUAACAACCAGCUUAAACCCGCAAUGGUGUAUGUCAGAUAUUAGUGUGGUGAAAACAUGCCUUAACAUUAAUGCAUUUAAAAUAUAUCUCUAGAACCUCAAUAAAAAAAAAAAGGCAAAUUGAUCUAACACAAUAAUAGGGGUUGCUUUUGUGUUACUGGCUCCGAGGUAGCAAAUUAUUUGUUCAGUUAACAAAGAAAAAGAAUAACAUUUCCCAACACCCUCUGGGUACAACUUGAACAAUUUGAUAUAAUUAAUGCGAAUAACCUGUUUUGGUUAUGCUUAGAUUUGUUUCUAUGCAAGAUUGGUAUCCCAGAAAAUUGAACGGUUUAAAAUGUGACUACUCAUAAUGUGUUUAUUGGAAGCAAAUUUGGCUAAGGAUAGUUUAAAUCAGCAUCAUAUAUAUAUAUAUUGUUGUUUUUUUUGAAAAUAUUCACAAAAUGUCAUAUGUAUAUAUAUAUAUUUUUUUAGAAGCCCAUAUUUUUGAGGUGGUUUGGAAGCUAAUCUGAUAUUUGGAUGCAUAUUGAAUACAUCAUAGCUAAUUAUCAGAUCAAAUUAUUUGCAUGAAAUAAUUAAAAUCAAAAUAAAUAUUUAUAUACCUGUUGUGUAGUCACAAAGAAUAUUAUUGUAUGCUUUGCUUUCAUCAAUUUAGAAACGGGUUUAUCUUUAUAUCUCAAAAUUUGUUUAUCCUUAUUUUGGUUUCUGUUUGUAGACUACAAGUAGAAACGUAUAAGAAAAAAGUAUUUUAUAAUUUGUUGCUUUUAGAAAAGUUUCUGGUAAUUGCCAUCUGUGAAUUGUAAGUGUAGCAUUAUUUGUCCAUCACAAGAUAUUCCAUUUUUUUUUCUCCAAGAUGUAACUGAAAGAAAUAUGUCUACCAUUAAAAUUGGCAAUGUGAUAAAGUUACCUGGUUCUGAUAUAUCGAUUUGGUUGGUCUGACCAUUUGCGAUAAGGACAUUUUGCUUUGUUAACGUAGCAAAUGUUAUUUUAAACUUAAUUUCACCACUAACCAUGUCUCAAUUUUUGGAGUUUUAUCUUCGUAAGAAAAAAAAAUUGAAGUUAUGACAAAGACAUUCAUCAAGAAAAUGCUGAUUUACAAGCAAAUUACAGUGAGCACUCUUUAAUCCGCCAUUUUGUAAUCCAGCACAGAGUUGCUUGCGUUUGGAUUUUUCCCGGGCGAUUUGGGAAUUCAAAUUCCCAUAAAAAAUGGAAGACAUGAAAACAGUUUGACAUAUUUGCGAGCAAAAAUGAAUACAUUUAAGUUGUAAGACUUCUAUUUUCUAGUCUGCAUCACACUAAUUUCAGUACAGAGUAAAUGGCGAACACUGUUGCCAAAUUGAAACUAUUCGGCUUGGUAACAUUAAAAAUUUUAAUUUACUUAUUAAUAAUAAAAGGCAAAAAAAUUGGGUCUAGAAGCACACUGUCAUUGGUUUAACUUGGAAUGUCUACAUCAGAAUGUUGCUUUUAGUGUAUUGGAUCGAAAUGAAGGCGAGAAAUUUACAGCAGUAGAGGUGCAGCUUCAAAUUUCCAUUAUUCCUAAACAGUCUCACUCACUGUGCAUCAGACAAUGGGGUCCAUGUGCAAGUGGCCCAGAGCCUCUUUCCAGCGAUCUUGCGAAUUUAUGUUUUCAGCUGGUCUCGUGCAGCCCGAAGCAAACAUAUUACUUAAGUUAAAUUUUUUUUGAACAAUAAGUUUUUGUAAAGAAAAAUGGCAGAACGCCAGUUUAGUUUGGUUAACAUACAAAUGAAUCAAUUCAAUCCAGUCUGGAUUUAAUAUAUAUUUUUGAUUAAUUGAAAUGGUAAUUUCUUUAAUCUUAAAAUGGUAAACAAAAUAUUUUAACAAAUGCACAUGACAGCAAUAUUUUUUUAUUUGCUAAAAAUACAGAAUAUAUUCACAAUAAACUUUCAGUAAUUUUUUUUUUUUGCUACAUCUUUCCCACUAUACCAAUCAACUUACAAUUUGUGGUUUAAUUUCAUUAGGCUUAUUGUUACACAGCAAGCAAAAUUGCAAUUGCACUACAAAGAGUACAUUUUCAUAUAGUGUAUCACUUCACUUCAUACCACCUUCAACAUUAUUCUGGUUCAUAAAACCUUCAAAUAAUUAAGAAAGAACAGUAUCAAAGAGGUAAGUAGCCAGCUGUAAAAAAAAAAACUAUUCUUAGUCCUUUUCAGAUAAACUUUCAGGUCUAACAGGAUGCUCGUACACAGUAGAAUUAAGUAUUUGUUGUGAGAACCCAAAAAAUAGUUUUUAAAAAAUAAUGUGGCUGUUAGAACAGUUGUUACCAGCACAUAAUACUAAUAUAACAUUAGUAAUUGUUCCUUAUUGAAUAUUCAGUUAAUAUCAAAAAUUUACAAAGCAUAUCUUUAAAAUUAGAAAUAUUUUGGUAAUUACAUAGUUUAAAACCACAAACACAUUCAAGUACUUUUUUUUUAAUGUUAAAAUACAAUUGGAUAAUAUAUUAUGUUACACAGAAUAAUUGCUUCUGAGAACAAUGUUCUUAAAAGUUUAUCUAUAUUUUCAAAAUCAAAUAUAUUUUGGUAAUUAUAUACAGCUUUGCAUCACAAACACAUCCAAUUCCUUUCUUUAUUUUAAUCAUUUUUGUUCAAAACUGGGCAUGCAAUAAGGAAAAAAAAUUCCUGUAAAAUUUUCAGAACAUAACCAUUAUAAUUUUUACAUUUUACUUACUUUUACUUUUCUAGAAAUAAAUACAUUAAUUUUUUUAGGUGUGACUGUGUGUACUAAAGUUCAUGAUUUUACUUUGCAGCCAUGUCACUUACAUCCACAGUAAAUGGUUUAUUUCAGAAAGAACCUAUUCCACUGUAUAAUUUUCAAAACUGGCAUGUUCAGACAUAUAUAAAUUGUUAUUUUAUGAAACACUGCAAUACACACAAAAUGAAGUGAAUAUCAAAUAAGGGGUACCAGUAUGAUAAAUGUGCUGAAGCUAGUAAUUCAAAAAUAUUUUGGCAGUAAAAAUAGCUUCUACUGUAGUACGUGUUUCCUGGAAACCAUAUUUAAGUACUCCACUGACUAGUUGACCCACUGCUUUUUAACUAACAUAAAUGAGGUGAUAAUUCAUGGACAAAAAUUUACCUGAAACUAUGUGCCACUUCAAAUGUUGCCAAGCCUAGCAGAACCACACAAUACAAUGCUUCGAUGAUCACAUUACAAGAGAGCAAGUUAUUGUAUAACAAGAAAAUUUUCAUUAUAUAUAUUUUUUUCCUAUAAAUCACACUUAAUAUGAUCAAAAAACUUAACAAGCAAGAUUAUAAGGAUUAGAUUUACAGGUUUCAUAAAUAAAGUUGAUAAAACUGAUGACAAGUUAGCUUUAAAAACUAACCAUAUAAAGCCAGAAGCUAAUACAAAAAAAAAAUGGUACAAA